rnacentral:rRNA from 1 species
AAGCGGGAAACCCACCUCGAAACCAUUUCUCCCUUGAGAGUCGUGGAAGACCACCACGUUGAUAGGCUGGGUGUGGAAGUGCAGCGAUGCAUGAAGCUUACCAGUACUAAUAACUCGAUUGGCUUGUUUAU